ACAUGAAUCGCCAAGGGAUCUUGCUAAAGUGCAGAUUCUGAUUCAGUGGGCCCGGGGUGGGGCCUGAGAUUCUGCAUUUCUAACAAGCUCCCAGGCAACGAUGAA
rnacentral:pre_miRNA from 1 species